GACGUAGGGCGCGAGCGUUGUCCGGAUUUAUUGGGCGUAAAGAGCUCGUAGGCGGCUUGUCGCGUCGACUGUGAAAACCCGUGGCUCAGCCAUGUGGUCUGCAGUCGAUACGGGCAGGCUAGAAUUCGGUAGGGGAGACUGGAAUUCCUGGUGUAGCGGUGAAAUGCGCAGAUAUCAGGAGGAACACCGGUGGCGAAGGCGGGUCUCUGGGCCGAUAUUGACGCUGAGGAGCGAAAGCGUGGGGAGCGAACAGG
rnacentral:rRNA from 1 species